UCCGGGGACUAGAUAUGGUAGGACGUUUCAAGAAAGCUCAAGGAGGAUACACUCAUCUUUUUGUUGCCGUGAUAAGUUCUCCAAAUGGAUAGAAGCUCGAAGAAUCCUAGGCACCAGUUUUUACUACUGCAAACUGAAACAACUAUAAAUAGAAUUCCCGCAUGCAAUUGAUAGUGACCUCUGCAAAUAUUGACCUUAUCAGAAGUGUGAAUGCAUGAACAAAGGUGCUUGUUGGAAAUUUGUUCAAGCAUGGCACAAAAAGCACAGAACAAUUUAUUUCAAGUAGAAAGAGUUAUAUAUUAUGAUACUCUCUCCCUC
rnacentral:lncRNA from 1 species